CUGACGGGCAACUAAAGAAGAUAUUAAUCCAGUCUAAUGCAUCUGCGGUAGAAUAUGCAUCAGUACAAGUGUCAAAAGAUGAGGUUAAAGAUAUACAGUUAGAUAGCACAGGCGAGCACAUGUAUGUUAUGACCAAAUACAAGGUCAGUAAACUGAAGGUAGAAGACUGCGGUAGUUACAGUAGUUGUGAUGAUUGUCUGGCAUCCAGAGAUCCGUUUUGUGGGUGGUGUAAUCUGGAGAACAAGUAAGAAUAUUGUAAUAAUUGUCUGGCAUCCAGAGAUCCGUUCUGUGGGUGGUGUAAUCUGGAGAACAAGUAAGAAUAUUGUAAUAAUUGUCUGGCAUCAAGAGAUCCGUUCUGUGGGUGGUGUAAUCUGGAGAACAAGUAAGAAUAUUGUAAUAAUUGUCUGGCAUCCAGAGAUCCGUUCUGUGGGUGGUGUAGUCUGGAGAACAAGAGCGUGCCGGACAAUUAAGCUGAAUACAUGCACUGACAGCACCUUAGCUACUCGUAGAAUCCCCGCUGAGAUAGAGCGAUCCUGCUAGUACUGAAAGGUAAUGAGAACGCAGUCUAAGAAUAGAAUAUUGUGUGUAAGGAUUUGAACGAUUUGCUUUGCAUACCUGAUGGCUAAAACCCGCUGUUUUUGUAGAAGUUUGAGAAUCAAUUAAAAUGCAACGUGUUCGUAUUGGAAUUUAUUGUUCAGACGUUACUUGCUGCGAUUUCAUUUCAAAUUUGAAUUUAUGAUUUAAAGUAUGUCUGGCGAAAUGUUCUUAUAUUUUUUCCACGCGGUUAGUGUCUUACAUGAACCGACACAGACCGAUAUAUAGCUAACGUUGAAUGUGUGACUGAAAAACUACCGGUAACUCAUGCUUACCUCACGCGAAUCCUCUUUCUUGAAUCCAUUUUUUGUCAUCCAACAUGAUCCUAUGUUAUUGUAGGUUGAAUGAAAGGUAAUCUUUUAAUGCAAUGAACCUUCUGCAUCUACUUCAUGUGUUUAUUUAUUUAGAUGCAGCAGAAAAAGUCAAUGCUCGGAUGCAGAUGGCUCAGGAAGAUGGCUUCCGUUUGACAACGGACAGUGUAUCAAGAUCAAUACCAUUUCACCAUCAAACACACCUCUAGCCAGACCUACACAGGUGAACCUAUCUGUAAGCCUCCUACCCCCCGACCAGCCCUACCAGUGUCUAUUUGAUACCACAGCUGUCAGUGCCACAGUCACUGGAGGAAACUUGGUGACAUGUGACACACCCACCAGCUUACCUAUUAUACCAACUGGGGACGAUCACAUCACAAUACCAUUAUCUAUCAAAUCAUUAACGACAGGAGUCGAGUUUCUAA